UUGCCCUGACCAACCAAUCAGAGGACAGAAAAAUGCAGAUGCUAUUGGGGCCCAGCGAGCUGAUCCUGUGAGGACCAAUCAAAUAAUUCAAUUACAAAAAAUGGAAUUUGGUUAAAUUGGCCAGCGGGGGCUUCGUGCAAGCAGAUUGCAUCUGUACUGUACAUGAGUUGACGCUGGAAAGCAGCCAGACACUUGACACGACAACCGGCUCGCCCAAUAGACUGUAAACAAGGACGUCGACAGGCGGCACGGCGCCCUCUUGGCAGUCAUGUGGUCGUCGGCCGAGGCGUUGGACGAGGAGUCCGGGUCGCUUUCGCUGUCUUCUAUGGAGGCAAACACAGACCUAUCAAUACAGACGGGACAACAGAGCACAGGGCAAGGGCUUACUCUCACUAACACCCCAUCAGCGCGAGGAAUGCUGCCACGUCCCUCCGCCGUCCUGUACCUGUGGCGCUCUCCUGUCCGAGGACUUCCUGGGAGCUGUUGCCGCAGCACUCACUGUCUUCGGUGAACUCGUCCCUGCCGUCCAUGUUAAUAGUGUGCUGAAAUCCCGUGAUGCCGGAAGUGUGGAAUGGCCCUGGAGAGAAGGCAGUAAACGUUUGGUUUUCAUAACAUGUCUAUACCAGUAAUAAAAUAUAAAUCAUAAUAAUACCAGUAAUAGUACUCUACAGUAUGGUUCCUUAUAAAUACAUACAAUAAUAACAUAAUUAAACUGAAUAUAAAGAAUUUAACAGUUUGUACGUCAUGAUUUCAUGGAUUCAUUGCGUGGCUCCUUCUGGUGUGCACACAGGGGCCACUAGGGGGCAGUAUAAUACAUCCAUACGUAUAUACACGAAGACAACGGUCACAACUGCUCAGUCAGCCGCACUAAUGUUGUUUUUCCACAGAGGAUAAAAUACACGCCUGUGAGUAUUAUAUUGUCUGUCUACAUGUGUCGCUGCACUGUUUGUGUUAAAAUGUCCGUUGGUUAAAGGCUUAUAACACAGCGACAAUGCUAGUUUCGUUAGCACUUCUAUGGCAUUUUGCAUUGUGUGUUAAAAUUCAAACUUUGAUCAAAGUCAUGUGGUGUUUUGUUGAAUACGCAUGUAUUUGUCUUUGUUUUAUGUUUAGUAUUCCAGUGAACUUCAACUGGGAAUGGCAAUAAAAAAAACCUUGAAGUUA